UUUAUAGCCAUAACAACAAAAGUUUGAAGAAAUUCGGUGAUUAUCAUCGAAUUUAAACCAUUAGAUUUUUAGUGGGAUGUUAUUGGCAUUUUUAUUAUCGGAUUUUCAGUGGAACGUUAUCGGCACUUUCAUCAUCAAAUUUUGUGUGGGAUUGUUAUUAUAUUUUAUUUGGCCAAAAGUUAUCGUUGGAUUCGACAUUCUGUCCCAAAAUUUAACGGUAAGUUUUAGCACGAAUAAGCAAUUUAACCGUGCCAAAGUUACCUACAGAAAAAUUCGAUAAUAACGCUCAACAAUAAAAUGCGCCGUGAAAGAUUCUUCCCGCAAGCUCUCCUCCAUCGCCAUGGCAAGAUCUGUUGUGUCUCCUUCUGCCACCGCCACUAUGUCGUUGCUGGUGGAGGUUUCCAUUGCCUUUGUUGCCGUAAAGGUCUACUAUGCCAGAGGAUUUUUUUUGUUUGAAUGUUGUGUAGUAUUAUCGAGAGUUGUUCGUACUGCUUAUGUACGUGGGUUGUUCGUGCAGCUCUGAGGUUUUGAUUGGGCCGAAAAGAAAAGAAAAAUUGUUGCAAGCCCAAAUAUGAAUUUUACUUUCAGCCUUGGUUAAAUUGUUUGACUGAAUCAAUGUUUUGUUUAUGGGUCAGAUUCUAUUAACAUUUUAUUAGUCCAAUUCAAAUUUUAGAUGAAAACCCAAAGCUUGGUCCGAAACCAAUGAUUGAGAGAAAGCAAAUGUUUUGCUUCAUACUUCCAACGGAUCUCAUUUCUAUCAUGUGGUGGAAUUCAAAUUUUAUUAAAGUGAAGUUAAUAUAGGCAUUGGAAACAUGAAAGAGAAAGAGAAAAAUGAUUUGAUGGGUUUAAUGAUGCUGCACGCUACCUAAAGCAAAGGGAAGUGGGAAACUUAUUUCACUUUAUCAAAUCCAUUAAUUAUUGUUCAAAUUUCUCUUUCUUCUCUCUCAUCUCUCUUCUUCCUUCGAUCAUAUCACAGCAACUAUGGAGAAAAUUUUGAGCUACCACCUGAAAGAAGAAGAAGCUAGAAGAAAGCUAAAGACCAUUGUAAUGAUGGCAAGAAAAAGAAAACAAAAAGUAUGUUGUGGCUGAGAUCUUCACCAAAGGAGGUAAGAUUUGGUGAAGUAAGCUCAACCUCUCCAUACCAAAAAUGGAUGAAGAAGAUUUCGGUCAGAAGAAGAAGAUCUCAGAGGGAUGGCUCGUCUCUGCUUUGUGUUCACUCAUCACAGAAGGUAGCUAGGGAGGCUACAUGAAGGAGGAAGCAAAAGUGGAGCAGGAGGAGCUGUCAUGCAUCAAGAGGCAUCAAGGGCUAGGAAUCCUUCUUGGAGUGCAAGUUCAAGAUGGAUGGCUCGGAUUGAUGAAGCUUGGUGUAAAGGGAAGACUCAGAGGUAAUUGCAUGUUGGUUUUAGCAUUCGGUUAUCUCUC